rnacentral:rRNA from 2 species
GGUGGUUUGUCGCGUUGUUCGUGAAAACUCACAGCUUAACUGUGGGCGUGCGGGCGAUACGGGCAGACUAGAGUACUGCAGGGGAGACUGGAAUUCCUGGUGUAGCGGUGGAAUGCGCAGAUAUCAGGAGGAACACCGGUGGCGAAGGCGGGUCUCUGGGCAGUAACUGACGCUGAGGAGCGAAAGCGUGGGGAGCGAACAGGAUUAGAUACCCUGGUAGUCCACGCCGUAAACGGUGGGUACUAGGUGUGGGUUUCCUUCCUUGGGAUCCGUGCCGUAGCUAACGCAUUAAGUACCCCGCCUGGGGAGUACGGCCGCAAGGCUAAAACUCAAAGGAAUUGACGGGGGCCCGCACAAGCGGCGGAGCAUGUGGAUUAAUUCGAUGCAACGCGAAGAACCUUACCUGGGUUUGACAUGCACAGGACGCCGGCAGAGAUGUCGGUUCCCUUGUGGCCUGUGUGCAGGUGGUGCAU